rnacentral:rRNA from 1 species
CACUUAGAUGUUCUGGGCCGCACGCGCGCUACACUGACGAAUGCAACGAGCUUAUAACCUUGGCCGAAAGGUCUGGGUAAUCUCCAAAUUUCGUCGUGAUGGGGAUAGAUUAUUGCAAUUAUUAAUCUUCAACGAGGAAUGCCUAGUAAGCGCAAGUCAUCAGCUUGCGUUGAUUACGUCCCUGCCCUUUGUACACACCGCCCGUCGCUCCUACCGAUUGAAUGGUCCGGUGAAGCGUUCGGACCGUGGCCUUUGGACGGUUCGCCGUCUGUUGGCUGCGGGAAGUUCGUUAAACCUUAUCAUUUAGAGGAAGGAGAAGUCGUANCA